UACGAGGGUGGCGAGCGUUGUUCGGAAUUAUUGGGCGUAAAGGGCGCGUAGGCGGUCGGAUAAGUCUUGUGUGAAAUCUUCGGGCUCAACUCGAAGUCUGCACAGGAAACUAUCUGGCUUGAGUGUGGGAGAGGUGAGUGGAAUUCCUGGUGUAGCGGUGAAAUGCGUAGAUAUCAGGAGGAACACCUGUGGCGAAAGCGGCUCACUGGACCACAACUGACGCUGAGACGCGAAAGCGUGGGGAGCAAACAGG
rnacentral:rRNA from 1 species